UAAAAUUUGAAGUAGAAUUAUUUUUGCAAUUUUAUUUUACUCUAUGCGGAUUUACUAUCUAGUUUUUAACCCUUUGAUGAAAACUAUAGGGUUAGAAUAAUAAUGGUCCCUUAGAGUUGAGUGGUGGUCACCCCAGGGUUUAGUGGUAGUUGGUGAAAUAGUAUUAAUCUAAUGGUACAAAUAAUUAAAGAAGUAAAUCUAACAGCUAAAGCUGAAUAGCCAAAGGUUCCAAAUGCUAUUAAUAGCAUUCUAGCUCAAUUCUACAUAUAGAGUUGGACUGGAUUACUAUUAAUAGUAUUUGGGCUCUUUUACCAUCAAGUUACCUUUAAUGAAAAUUUCAGGGUUAGGAUGAUAGUGGUCCCCUAGGUUGAGUGGUAGUCUCCCGAGGGUAUAGUGGUAGUUAGUGAAAUCGUAUUGAUCAAAUGGUCGAAACAAUCAAACUAAUGGCUAAAAAUUGGAUAGCAAAAGAGCCUAAAUACUAUUAAUAGUAUUUCAACUCAAAUCUACCUAUAGAGUUUCCUAGAGUUCCCUAGGGUUAAGGCGUGGUCCAGCUCAGUUUUUAACCUCUGGAUGAAAAUUGUAGGGUUAGGAUGAUAAUUGAACCUAUGGUUGAGUGGUGGUCUCCCUGGCUUUAGUGGUAGUUGGUGAAAUGGUAUUGAUCCUAUGGUAGAAAUAAUCAAAAAAGUAAAUCUAAAAACCACUAGACCCUGGAGGACCAUUACUUAACCCUAGGGGACCACUAUCUUCUUAACCGUAUUCCAGCCCAACUAAAUGAGUUGGGCUGGAAUACAGUUAAUACUAUUUGGGCCCUUUUACUAUCCAGUUGUAACCUUUGGAUGAAAACUGUAGGGUACGGAAGAUAGUGGUCCUCUAGUGUUGAGUGAUGGUCGCCUAGGGUCUAGAGGUAGUUGGUGAAAUAGUGUUGAUCUAAUGGUAGAAAUUAUCAGAGUUAAUCUAACAGCUAAAAACAAGAUAGUAAAAAGGCCCAAAUAUUAUUAAUAGUAUUCCAGCCCAACUCUACGGGCGUGUUUGGUUCACUUUUUUUUAACCUUGGAAUCCAAAUCGGAAUAGGCGAAUCCGUUUGUGGGUGUUUGGUACGUGGGAGUCCCAUUCCUAUUCCGAUUCCCGAGUGGAAUGGAAAUCCCCCAGUCACCUCUUUUUCCAAUCCGACCUCCUAGGCCGGAUUGGAAGUUGAAUCGGGACGAAAUGGAUAUUUAUUCAGAUUAAAUUUAUUUUUUCAACAUUUUCAAUUAAAAUAUAAGUUUAAAUUUAGAAAUUAAAUAUAUAAUUUUAAAUUUUAAUUUGAACUUGAAUUAAAAAUUAAAAUUUAAUCAAGUAUUUUGAAUCUAACUUAUGAAUUUGAAUUUAAAUUAAAUUUUAAUUUAUAUAAAGUUUUAUUCAAAUUUUAUUUAAAACUUAAAUUAAAUUUAUGAAUUCAAAUUAAAAUUUAGACUUAAUUUUAAGUUUGAAUUUGAAUAAAUUGAAAUUUAGUUUUAUAUUUUGAAUUAUCUACUCAACUUCAAAGUUUAAUUUUUUUAAAAAAAAUAGAUUUAAAAUUUUGACAUUAUUUCAAAAUUUUGAUGUAAAUUUUCAAUAUUUAAUUUUCAAUUUUAAUUCAAAUUAAUAUAUUAUAAAGAUAAAGCUAGUAUAAUAAUUUGAUUACGUUUUUUAUAUCUACCUAAGGUCCUGAACCAAACACCAACAAUGGGAAUGAUUUAUUCCGAUUCCGAUUCAGGUUGUGAAUCAAACAGAAUUAGGUAAUGAGUCAUUCCAAUCCGAUUCUAGCUUAUUUCGAUUCCGAUUCUGAUUCCGAUUGCGACUUCGAACCAAACGCGACGCCCUAUAUGUAGAGUUGGUUGGAAUGCUAUUAAAAAUAUUUGGGCCCUUUUGCUAUCUAGUUUUUGACCUUUGGAUAAAAAUUGUAGGGCUAAGAUAUACUAAUCCCCUAGGGUUGAGUGGUAGUUGGUGAAAUAGUAUUAAUCCAAUAGUAGAAAUAAUAAAAAGAGUAAAUAUAACGACUAAAAACAGGAUAGCAAAAGAGCCCAAAUACUAUUAAUAGUUUUCUAGCUCAACUUAAUUACAUAUAGAGUUGGCCUGGAAUACUAUUAAUAGGAUUUGGGCCCUUUUAGUAUCCAGUUUUUAACUCUUGAAUGAAAAUUGUAGAAUUAGAAUGAUAGUGGUCCCCUAGGGUUGAGUGGUGGUCCCCCAAGCGUUUAGUAGUAAUUGGUGAAAUAGUAUUGAUCCAAAGAUAAAAAUAAUCAGAGUAAAUCUAAUGGCUAAAAACUAGAUAGCAAAAGGGCCCAAAUACUAUUAAGGGUGUGUUUGGUUCAAGUUAUCCUAACAGGAUUAUAGGCAAUCCUGCCAGGAUUACCGUGUUUGGUUCAUCCGCUAUGUAAUCUAGUCGUUAAUGUAGCAUUAUAAAUCGAGCAGGAUUACACCGAAAAUAUUAACGAGAGGGGGGUCAUGUAUCUUGCAUUACUGAAAACCGGUAAUACUACAUAUUAUGUAAAAUGACAAUUUUACCUCUAACUCUCGAAACCCUUUCAAUACGUUAUUUUUAAAAAAAUAUUGUUUGUAAACAGUAAGAAAAAGUUUACGAAAUAUGGCUAAGGGCAAUUUUGGAAUAGACUAUACUUUAUUGUCCAGAUUACUAAAUUUUAUAAACAGAACCAAAUAUAGUAACGCUAUAAACACUGCAAUCCAGCAUUACAUUACUGUAUUAAACCAAACGCACUAAUACAGCAUCAAUAGUAAUCUCAUUUAGAAAUUCAAAAUAUCUGGAUAUAUCAAAAUACUCUGUAAUAUUACAUAACUCGAACCAAACGCGCCCUAAUAGCAUUUCAGCUCAACUCUACAUAUAGAAUUGGGCUCGAAUACGAUUAAUAAUAUUUGGAUUUUUUUACUAUCCAGUUUUUAACGCUUGGGGGAAAAUUGUAGGGUUAGGAUAAUACUGAUCCCUAGGGUUUAGUGGUGGUCACCCUCGGGUUUGGUUGUAGUUGGUGAAAUAGUAUUGAUCCAAUGGUAUAAAUAAUCAAAGGAAUAAAUCUAACGGCUAAAACUGGAUAGCAAAAGGGUCCAAAUACUAUUAAUAGUAUUUCAGCUCAACUCUACAUAUAGAGUUGGGCUGAAAUACUAUUAAUAGUUUUUAGGCCUUUUUACUAUCAAGUUUUUAACCCUUAAAUGAAAAUUGAAUAGUUAGAAUGAUAGUAGUCACCUAGGGUUAAGUGGUGGUCCCCCUAGGAUUUAGCAUUAGUUGGUGAAAUAGUAUUGAUUCAAUAGUAGAAAUAAUCAAAGGAGUAAAUUUAACAGCUAAAAAUUGGAUAACAAAAGGGCCCAAAUACUAUUAAUAAUAUUCCCGCCAAACUCUAAAUGUAGAGUUGGGCUGGAAUAUUAUUAAUAGUAUUUGCGCUCUUUUACUAUCCAGAUUUUAACCCUUGGAUAAAAAUUAUAGGGUUAGGAUGAUAGUGGUCCCCAAGGGUUGACUGGUGAUCCCUCCAAGGUUUAGUGAUAGUUGGUGAAAUAGUAUUGAUCCAACAGUAGAAAUAAUCAAAGGAGUAAACCUAACGACAAUAAAUUGGAUAGCAAAAGGGCACAAAUACUCUUAAUAGUAUACCAACUCAACUCUACAUAUAUAGUUGGGCUGGAAUACUAUUAAUAGUAUUUGUGCCCUUUUGCUACCUAGUUUUUAACCCUUAGAUGAAAAUUGUAGGUUAGGAUAAUAGUAGUUUCUUAGGAUUGAGCGGUGGUCUCCCAAGGUUUAGUUGUAGUUGGUGAAAUGUUAUUUGUCCAAUAGUAAAAUCAUAGGAGUAAAUUUAACGACUAAAAACUAGAUAGCAAAAGGCCCCAAAUACAAUUAAUAGUAUUCCAGCUCAACUCUACAUAUAGAGUUGGCUUGGAUACUGUUAAUAGAAUUUUGGCCCUUUUACUAUCCAGUUUUUAAUCUUUGAGUAAAAAUUAUGGAUUUAGGAUGAUAGUGAUUCCUCUAGAGUUGGUAUAAGCGUGGUGGGUCCUACAAGACGUCUGUGUGAUGUUAAUAAUCAAAUGUAUCUUUAAUUAGUUAAAUAAUUUUUUAUAAAGUAAAAAUUAUUAAGAACUUAAUAGACUGGUUGUGAUUUUUUGUAAUUGCUGAAGUAAUAUAUUUUUCACAUGUAUUGAGGUUAUAAUUCAGCAUAAUAUUCUUUUUAAUGAGGUUUACAGGAGAAAAAUUCAAUCCAAGGUUGGCGAUAAGUGACACUUAUUGAUCGAGCAGUUUUUAUACAUGGAACCCAUAAUAACGCGCCUGGAUAUUAAGAUACGUUUGUGCCUUAAUACCAUUAAUUUUGAGAGUGGAGAUAAAUAGUACAAAGUUAGUGAGAAGGUUUAAUGUUACUGGUAAUCAUUAGAUAGAGAGAAGGUCGCAGUGUUAACUAGUGUCUAUUUUAGUGUAUCUUAGAUUACAGUGAGCACGAAAUUUAUAAAAUAAAAUAUAUGAAUCUAAUAAAAAUCAUAAUUUUAGGUUAUGUGUGGAAAAUUAAAUAACAGAAUUGUAUAACUUGAGUGGAGUAAAGGUUAUUGAAUGGUAUUGAUGGAGUCCAUUUCAAUGAAAAAAUUAUUAUUACUACACAGUACAAUACACUAUAUAAAAGUUUUGAAGUUUCACCAGGUGUAGUUAGCAGUUUACCAACGCGAUCAGUGUACUUUUAUGAUACAUUUCAUGUGUGUUGUUUGCCUUAACGUUUUGAAUACACUGAUUACAGUGUUAUAAAUACAGAUUAGUUCGAUUAUAGCUCGGAUGCGAUGCUGUAAGUUGAAGACUGUAUGAUAUAGUGACUUUAAACUCUAGCAGUUGAACUACUCUAUUCAUACCUGCAGCAACCUCUGAUCUUAAUGAAGAUGAUAGUUAUAUGCAUAUCUCAAUAUUUCAUUUACAGUCCGGACAGAGUAAACUGUUUCCUUGAUUUCAUUCUCAAUCUAUGGUAAAUGAUGUUAUGGUUCAUGAGUAAAAGCAACCAAAUGGAAGUGGAGGUCGAAUGAAGAGGUAGUGAUUUGUCAUCAUAUGCUAUAACAAGAAAUCUACCACCAAAUGGAAUUUGCAAAGAAGAGAAAACGGCAUUUCCCCAAAUACAAAUGAAUAUCAUGGUCCUAAGCGAAGAUAUCAAUGAGUCAGGCCAUUAACUAAAAGUAUCAUAACUUUAUCGGGUAUAAAAUGAUCAAAUUGUAUAUGAGCGAUACAGUGGUAUGGGAUUCAUGAACCCGGUCUAUGCUCAUUAUCGAAGAGUUCUAGAUUUUGACUGAGUGAAAACCCAUUAAUAGAACAAUCAACAAUGUAUAUAUAGUUAUGUGACUAUAUAUAGAAGUAGCACCGAGAGAAGACUUUAACCGACUACCAAAAGGACGCAUGGAAUGGGAUCCUAAAGGGAUAACUUCCAGCGAGAUGAUGGUAGCGGAGACAGCGAUUGUAGUUACCUCGUAUAGAAAGCCGGUUAUGUCUAUAGGUGAUUACUCAAUGGAGAAUUUUGAAUAGCCCAGUGCGAAGGAGUCCGAACCAAGCAGAAUAUUAACCGAGAACUAGGAAUGAGCAAGUAUUAACUAAUGUAAAAUGAGAAACCACGCUAACGAUACAUCCUAAAAGGAUAAGCUACCAAUGGUUUUAUCAAAGUGCCCAGUCCCAAGUAAUGAUUGAAGAGAUGGUAAUGCACUAUGUUGAGGUAGGGGUGAAAUUCCGAAGUGAUGACAGUAAACAUUGUCUCUUUAGGAAGGCACGGUAGCGGAUUCUGCUUCAUGGAUGCCUAUCCGGUUUCCUACCGGGGCAUUAUGAACAAGUUGAGCGAGAAGGGUUGGAGACAACCGUUGGAUGUUUCUUACAUAUUAAGGUGCAAAAGGACAACGGAGGUGAGUUGGCGUGUGUUAUUCACAAUAGUUAUUGAAUCAUAACUGGGUGAAAAAUGCGAUCAAAAGUAGAUCUAAUGGUUGUGAAAAGCUUGGUAUUAGCACCAAGCUGCUUCGCAUGCUAUUAAUGAUAGUAGUCCGGUAAUGAUAUAUUAAUAUAUAUAUAUAUAUCUGUAUAUAUAUAUAUAUUAUAUAUAUAUAUAUAUAUAAUAUUAUAGCGACGAGAGAGAGAGAGAGAGGAUUGAUGAGAGAAGCAGAGAGAGAGAGGUCGAUUGCCGGGGAGACGAGAUGAGAGAGACGCAGAGAGAGAAAGAGUUGGGUUGCGAAUAUAUUGGCAGCAUUUGGCUUUUUGCUAUAAGUUUUUAAACAUUGGAUGAAAAUUAUAAGGUGUUAGGAUGAUAUUAGUUCUUAAGGUGAGUGGUGCCCCAAGACUUGAGUGGGCCUAACUGAAUUAUAAUAUUAAUUUAUAAUCCAAUGUAUUAGAAAUGAAUCAAAAAUAAUUGAUACAAAGGCAUAAAAACUGAUAGCACAAAAAAGGACAAAUAUCUACUAAUAGUAUUCUUAAGCCCGACCCUCUUAUAUAAUAUAUAUGGCUGGGGCUACUAUACUCAUAUGAGCUAUAGAGCCUUUUACUCAUGACGCUUUUUCGACUCUUCAAAUGAAAAAUGUUGCUGUUAGGACUGAAAAGUGCGUUACGCGUCUAGUCCUGUUGAUGUGAGGCCCCUAGCGUUGAAGGUGUGGCUGGUUGGUUGAAUAGUAUAAUCUAACAGGGUUGAAAAUGAUUAAAGAGGUAAUUUUUAACGCGCCAAAAACUUAUGAGGAUAAAUCGGCCUCUAUACUCAUAAGAGUAUAGGUUAGCCUCCUCGUCUCUUCUCUCUGCGCCUCUCUCGUCUCUCUCUCUCUCUCUUCUCUCUCUCCUUAUAUAUAAUAUAUACUCUGGAUAGAGCACCGCGAAGGCAAGGGCUGCGGGGCUCGCCAGUUCACCGCCGGCGGCGAGCCGUCUCCCUGUUAGCCAAUCGGCGAGCGGUCCUGUAAACCUCGCGGCUUAAGGUUGUUCAUGUAUAAUGAUAUCGUAUCGUAUAGUAUAUUAGUAUGGCUGGGGGCUACUAUACUUUUAUGCAGUACUAGACGCCCCUUGUAUCAUUAAAUUUGUUAACCGUUAUAUUGAUGGGAUGUGUGGUAGGAUGAUGAUGGUUCCUUCACUUCUAGAAUGAUAGUGGUCCCUUUAGGAUGAGUAGAUACGUUGGUUGAAUAGUAUGAUCUAACGGAUGAAAAUGAUCAAUAAAAUAAAUCUAAGGCCCGAAACUUCAUGAGUCAUAGGGAGCUAAUACUUCAUAAAAGUAUAGUAGGGCGGGCAUAAAUACUGGGGUGGUAUCCUAUUAGUAAUAUAAUUGAGCUAGAAUAUUUUUAGCAAAGCACAACCCCUUGGUUGCUUCUGCCCGGGGUUUCUAUUCUCUGUGGAUUCUCACUCUUUGAUUAGUAAUAGCCCGUUGGAUGAAUAAAGCAUUAUUCGUCUACCAACUAUCACCAUCAUCCCAACACAUCCUUCCAUCCAUAUUGGCUAAAAAUUCAAAAGCAUCACUCUUGAUGUUUUGAGAGUAUUCUAGCUCAACUCUAUAUAUAUAUAUAUAUAAUACGAUUAUGGUAUGUAAUAUGUAUUAUAUAUAUAUAGUAUAUAUACUAUAUAUAAUAUAUAUAUGGUAUUAUAUGUAAAUAUAUUAUAAUAUUCUAUAAUAUGCUAUAUAGUAAUAUAUAUAUAUAUAUAUAUUAUAUUAUAUUACAUAUGUAUAUAAUAUAUAUAUACAUAGGUUAUAUAUAUAUUUAUAUAUAUAUAAUAUAUAUAUAUAUAUAUUUAUAUAUAUUGUAUAUAUAUAUAAUUUAUAUAAUUGUAGAACUAGGCUGGAAUCACUAUUUAAUCAGCACACAGCUAUUUGGCUGCUAUUACGCUUUUUAUAACCUUUGAAUGUGAGAAAUGUGGAGUGGUUAGGAUGAUGUAGGCCGCCUAGGAAGUGUGAGGAUGUUGGUUUGAAUUAGGGAUAAUCUAACUGGUAAAAAUAAUCAAAGGUUAUAAUCUAACGGUUUGAUUUGUGGAAAACCGAAUUAGCCACCAAUCCUUUAGUGUUUCCAAGAUUUAGUAGUUCUAGGCGGACUCUCUCGUCUCUUUUCAAUUCUCUCUGCUCUCUGGUCUCUUCUCCUCUCUUCUCUAUAUAUAUAUUUAUAUAUAUAUAUAUAAUAUAUAUAUAUACAUAUAUAUAUAUAAGCCGGACGCUCUCUCUCUCUCUCUCUCUCUCUCUCUCUCUCUCUAUAUAUAUAUAUAUAUAUAUAGAGUGAGGCUACUAUACUUCUGAAAGUACGGAGCCUUAUAUAUAUAUAGAGUGAGGCUACUAUGCUUCUGGAAGCACGGAGCCUUCCAUACUUCCACGUCGUUUCCAUGUUGCAACUUUCGAAUUGUCGAUCGGCUCUGUUAAACUUAAUCUAGAGUAUUUGAAGUACCCAGAAAAUAAAUUAUUCGAUUUUUCGAUAUUAUUUGCCUAGUGAACGAAGGGGCUCAAAAUCGACGGCUGAAAAUAAAAAUCUUAUAAAACGUGAUAAUAUAACAUUAAAAUUUUAGAUCAAAGAUAUUGAUCUUGUUUUAUAUAAUAUAAAGAAUUUGCUACCAAAAUUUCACGUGAUUUGGAUAUUUCUAUGCCGUUAAACUUGCAAACGGCUUACUACGACCAUUAAAAUUAUUGAUUUUGAGCCCCUUCGAUCACUAGGCAAAUGAUAUCGAAAAAUUAUAAAAGGUACUUCAAAUACUCUAGAUCAAGUUUAACGGAGCCGAUCGACGAUUCGAAAGUCGCAACAUCGAAAACGACCUGAAAGAACGAAAGGCUCCGUGUUUCCAAAAGCAUAGUAGCCUCUUAUAUAUAUAUAUAUAUAUAUAUAUAUAUAUAUAUAUAUAUAUAUAUAUAUAUAUAUAUAUAUAUAUAUGUGAAAGGUGUGACGCCGACUUUCCCAGGGGAAUGAUGAGGGGGGUCACCAAAUUAUGGAUACUCGUCUGCACGCUUACUAUUUUAACUCUUUGAGGUCUUAGCACACCCAAAUGCCUUAAGCCGGGUUUUAAGAGUUUAGCCUAAUGUAUAUUUCUAUAUAGGACUAUUCUGGGUUCUUCAAAUCUCCCCCUCUUUAAGCCCUGACGUCCUCGUCAAGGCUUCAGACUCACACAAUACCAGGCGAUGUGAGACGCAUCUCGCUAGCCCGUCAUCCAGACCCAGUGCUCUAGCGAGACUCAUUACAUUCCGGCUGGGAGUAUAUCGCAGUAAUUGGCUCUGAUACAUCACUGUGAGCCCCGACUUCCCAGGGGGUCACCCAUCCUAGGACUACUCCCGUCCUAGCACGCUUAACUCUCUUAACCUCUUGGGUCUAGCCACCACCCAAAAUGCUUAAGCCGGGUUAAGAGUUUAGCCCUAUUAUAUCUCAUAUAUAGGACUAUCUGGGUUCUCACAAAAGGUGAGGUCCCACGACAUAUGUGGUUAACAUUGCUCAAAAUACGAAUGGCAGAGCCAUCCAAUAAUAUAUGGAAAUAGAAUUAUCAUUUUGGGCAUGUUUGGUUCGUACAUUUUGGAUCCGGAAUAGAAAUCGAUUUGAUCAAAUUCUGCUAAUUUUGUUUGGUUCACAGGAAUCAGUCUGGGACUCCCAUUCUGGAUCGGAAUGGGAAUGGUCCAUUAGCUUACAAAUUGAUUCUGGUCUCCAAGCCCGGAUUGAAGUUUCAAUUCUAAGCCCACACUCACCUUUUCCUAAGGCCCAGCCCAACGUUUCUUCAUGUUAUCCAUCCUUUCUCUCCUUGUAGGCCUGUACCAAUCUCUUCCCUCUUUUCUCAUCAUUAAAAAAAAAAAGUGACAUAUCAUUCUUUAUUAUAAUUUUCACUACAACAGAAUUUGGUUAUAGGGACACAUGUUUGGGACACUUCUGUGUAAGUGUCUCAUUUAUGCCAAAAUUUUUUAAAUAAUAUACUAAUGCCUAAAUAUAAAGCCCAAUUCAAUCAAAAAUAAAAUGUUACACUACUCAACCCACCCCAUCCAGCCCGUUUGGCCCGAUUACAAACAGAAAAGAAAAAAAAAAAAUCAAUUACCAUCUUCCCUUCUCCCCUUACUCAAUCCACUGAAAUUCUACUGAAAUUCUAGACGAAAAGCCCUUUCCUCUCCUCCUCCUUCGUCAUCGCAGCAACGAGGUAGAGUUCCGGCGGUUGCUAAAUGCUUAAAUAAGUGUUGGUAAAUUAGCAGCACUCUUUUUAGCUUAUAGCGACACUCUUUAACUGUCACUAUAUACCUAGCGACCCCACAUAUAGCAACACUUUUUAAAAGUAUCGGUAAUUUAGCCAGCAGCACUUUUUUUGACCUAUACCGAUAUUUAAAAGUGUCGCUAUGAACCAUUUUUGUUGUAGUGUUUAUUCAAAAAAAUUUAUGCAUUUUUUUUGUAAUUUCUUGUAUAAAAAUUUUUAAAAUUAAUUCUUUUUUUUUGGCAUAGCUCUAACUUGAGAGUACUAUUAAUUUUUUUUUUAUAAAUUUUAGAUAGUUUUAUAAAAUUAUAUUUAAAAGUAAAAUUAGUAUUAUGUUAUUCUAUUAUUUUUUUACUUUGUAUCAACCAAAUAGUGAAAUAAGAAUAAUUCAUUCCAAUUUUCAUUCCAGAAAUAAACCAAACGUCUUGAGGGAGUGGGGCAAUCCAAUUGUCAUUCCAAUUCAUUCCUAUUCCAUUAUUUAUUCCAAUUCCACUCUUGAACCAAACAAGCCCAUAUAUGUAGUGCGGUUCUUUAAGGGCCCCUUUUUAAUGAGAUUUUGUCAAGAUAAUUUGAUAAAUCAUCUAACACUCGAAUCUUAAAUGACCUUUUCAAUGUAGAAUGUUUUUGUUCGAAUCUCAACACCACAUCAAGAUAGCAGAUUUAUAGAAUGCCCAAUAAAGGAGAACGAAGUCUUCCUCAUUCUUUUAUUUUUUUUGGUAUAUAUGUUCAAAAAUAAUAUAAAAUAAUUAAUGUAGGUAAGGGGAUAUUGGAGUGCUCAUAUAUGCCUCUUUUGCCUUUUCCAAUUAUUGGAAGACAUUUCUAAGUCAAUAGGAUAAGGAGAUAAAGGCAUAUGGAAUUUCUACCAUAGACACAGAUGCAGGUAAACCAAACCCCAACUAACAGGAACUAAUAAGGCUUGCUUAUUACUAUGACAAGCAUGAUAUAGACUUCUCAAACAUGUCAAUUACUUGAAGUUUGGCCGUUGCAUCUCAAAUAGUAUUUCUUUGGCUGAGGCUCUAAAAUUCAUUCAAUCUACGUGUCAAAUUGUUUUGGAAGUAGCCAAUUCAUGAAAGGUAUCAAUAAUGUUAGCUAGAGAUUAUGCCUUCUUUUCAUUGUUAUAUAUUGAUUUGAUCCAUGCACCAAGUUCAUGGAAAUUAAUUGGAAGUCUAAAUUAAGUUGGGCGUUAAAUUGGACUUGGCCCGGUUUAAUUCCUAUGUAUUGCGCCCAAUUCAAGUUGGCUCUGGGGUAGAGUUACUAGAGUAGGAUAAGGAUAAGAAUUCACUUAUAUGUAUAUGUGAAUACCAUGUAUACACAUCACGCAUGGUACGGACGAAUUCAAUAUAGACACUUCACACUUUUUAAUAGAUUAGAGGUGACGGUUCCCUUUAAGCCGUAUACACAAGUGCAAAUUACUACAGAAGUGCAAAUUAAUAGAUUACAGGUGACGGUUCUCUUUAAGCCGUAUUAUUAUUAUAUAUACAGUUGAAAUUAAAUUUAAAUUUAAUUAUUAUUACAAUCAGUGAAAAUUAAUAUAAUAACUAAAUAUUAGUUAAUCUUAAAUAUAUUCACAAUAAAAGAAAGAGAUAUUCAUAAUGGUGUCUGUGGGCCGGGUCGGGUCUGGAUAGUUGAUAUACUGUAUCCGUAUCCUAAAAAGAAAUUAGUAGAAAAAAAACAUAUAUACCCUAAUAUUUAACUUUCGAUCGGAUCUGGGUCUGGAUACUUAAUUAAGUUAAUAAUAUAUCCAUCAAGUUUAUUUGAGUGGGUCUGAGUAGUGACUACCCGUAUACUAUCCGCCUUAAGAUCGGAUUUGGAUCGGAUAUGGGUCGUGUCUAGAUCGGGUAUGGGUCAGGCCUGGAUCAAAUAUGGACACCCGUAUGCAUAUAUUUUUUAUAGAUUUUAUUAAAUAGUUUAUGGACAAACCAUAAAUCUCUCAUUAUAAAAAAUUUCCAUUCUACUUAGUUGCACCGUCUAAUAAAAGUAGUUUAAAAGAAAGAUUCAGGGUUAAACAAAUAAGGAGAAAAUAAAAAAAUAAAAAUGUCCCAUUGAAAUACACUGAGACACUUCGUCUAUAAGUCCUAUUGAAAUUUAUCCCUCAAUUUUAAAUUUUUUUUAUUUACUAUCGGAUAUUUCACUAGGUCCCGGUCUAGGUCCGGAUCCAGAUCCAGAUUUGAAAACUCUUCCAAACCCUACCCAUUAAAAUGUCGGGCUCGGGUUGGGUCCAAGUCGGAUAUGGAUAUAAAGUAUCCGGAUCGAUAUCCGAAACUUUAAUGGUAAUUUUUUUUACCCAUAUACUAUUUAUUAUUUAUCAGAUCUAAUUCGGGUUCGGGUAGGAUCUAAGUAGGGUUUGGAUUGAAUAUGGGAUAUCAAAUAUUUUGAACGGUUUUAAAUAUUAAACUAUAUAAAAAUAUUUAAUAAAAAAAUAUUAUUAGAAAAUAAUGAAUUAAAAGUUUAUUUCAUUACGUAUUUAUUUCCAGUGAUUUAUAUUCUUAUAUUUAUAUUUCUAUUCUUAUCAUUGUAUUUUUUAAGACGGCUCGGUGGAGAAACCGAAAUUUAAAAUAGGUAUUUUUAUACGUAGUAUAGAUGUAGAUAUAUCUUAAUACAUCACGUGCAGACAAUCAUUUUUAAAAGGCAAAUCAAAUUAUUUGAAUGGUCAGAAAAGUGAAACCAAAAUUUUUUUUCAAUUUAGAUAAUUAUUUUCAGUGAUCCUUAUAUACGUAUAGUUUUCAACAUGAUGAACAACCUAGUUGCACCAAUUCUAGUGGUCAACCUCAUACACGCUUGAGUAAAUGAGAGAGUAGAACAAACUGUUUAUUUCCAGAGACUUAAACUAAAAGUGAGAAAACAAAAACGAAAACAGAAGCAAUGAAAUUUGAGCUCCAGAUGUAAACGGUAAUUUAAAUACGGAUUAAUUUUAUACAGAUUUCUGUAAAUAUAGUAAAUUAUAAAUAUAAAGUUCAACUUUCAUACGUUGUUUCUAUAAAAAUUCUAAUAUUUUCUAAUAUAUCCUUAAUUACCGUUAGAAUUCGUUAGAAAACUUUUAGUUAACCAUAAGUUAAAUAUAUAUCUAAUUCUGAUUAGUUUAUGAGAUAACUCGAUAUUUUUAUCAUUUUAUAUUAUACUGUUAUACCCUUUGGAUAGACAUAUUUGUACUGGUAAAAAUGAUAUUUUAUUUAAAAUAUAAAUCAUUUUGUAACGGUAACAAGAUAGAAGGACAAAAUUAAAAAUAUUAGAAUAUUUAUAGCGACAAUAUAUAAAAAUUAAAUUUUAUAGAAAUAUAUAUUUAUAGUUCAGUAUAUUUGCAGGGACCUGCAUGUAUUUAACCCCUUAAAUAUAUACAUUGAUUC
rnacentral:lncRNA from 1 species